rnacentral:rRNA from 1 species
UACGUAGGGGGCAAGCGUUGUCCGGAUUUAUUGGGCGUAAAGAGCGUGUAGGCGGCUAGGUAGGUCCGUUGUGAAAACUCGAGGCUCAACCUCGAGACGCCGAUGGAAACCAUCUGGCUAGAGUCCGGAAGAGGAGAGUGGAAUUCCUGGUGUAGCGGUGAAAUGCGCAGAUAUCAGGAAGAACACCCGUGGCUAAGGCGGCUCUCUGGGACGGUACUGACGCUGAGACGCGAAAGCGUGGGGAGCGAACAGG